UACGUAGGGCGCAAGCGUUGUCCGGAAUUAUUGGGCGUAAAGAGCUCGUAGGCGGUCUGUUACGUCCGCUGUGAAAACCCGUGGCUUAACUGCGGGCUUGCAGCCGAUACGGGCGGGCUAGAGUUCGGUAGGGGAGACUGGAAUUCCUGGUGUAGCGGUGAAAUGCGCAGAGUAUCAGGAGGAACACCGGUGGCGAAGGCGGGUCUCUGGGCCGAUACUGACGCUGAGGAGCGAAAGCGUGGGGAGCGAACAGG
rnacentral:rRNA from 1 species